rnacentral:rRNA from 1 species
UACGAAGGGGGCGAGCGUUGUUCGGAUUUACUGGGCGUAAAGGGCGCGCAGGCGGCUCAUUUUGUCAGGCGUGAAAGCCCCGGGCUUAACCUGGGAACUGCGUUUGAUACGGAUGGGCUAGAGUUCGGGAGAGGAGAGUGGAAUUCCCAGUGUAGAGGUGAAAUUCGUAGAUAUUGGGAAGAACACCGGUGGCGAAGGCAGCUCGCUGGGACGUUACUGACGCUGAGACGCGAAAGCGUGGGGAGCAAACAGG